rnacentral:rRNA from 1 species
AUGGGAAAAGCUAUAGAGAAAGUAUUCACGGAAUCAUAUCACGGGUUGUGCACCUUUCACAUUAUGAUGAAUGAUGUCAAACAUUUAUCUCCAGUCAAGGAUGAUGAGAAAGAUGAAGGGGAGGUGGAAGAGGAAGAUGAAGGGGAGGAGGAAUCUCAUAUUCUCUCUGAUUUUAGUGCUUGUAUGUAUGGCUAUGAGGACAAGGCAGCAUUUGAAGAAGCAUUUGACAACAUGAGACAUAAAGUGCAUAAGCAAACUUGGUUAGAUAGCAUCUACAAGGUGAAAGAAAAAUGGGCUGAAUGUUAUAUGAGAGAUGUCUUCAGUUUGGGAGUGAGAAGUACACAACUAAGUGAGAGUUUCAACAAUGCAUUGAAGAACCAUUUGAAAUCUGAUUUCCAUAUUAUCCGAUUCUUGAAGCAUUUUGAGAGAACGGUUGAAGUAAAAAGGAGAAAGGAAUUGGAAUCUGAAUAUGAGGCAAGAAAAAAAUUGCCAAGAAUCAAGAUGUGCACACCCAUGUUGGUGCAAGCAAGCAAAGUGUACACUCCAACUAUUUUUGAAGCUUUCCAAAGUGAAUAUGAAAGAUCCAUGGCUGCUUGCACUAGAGUGUUGGAGGAAAAUAACCAAUUUGCUGUUGCUAUUGGGAGGUUGCAUGGUGAUUUGACCUAUGAGGAGGAGGAGGAGCGCGUAGUGAUUGGUGAUCCGUUGAACCAAACCGCUUCAUGUAGUUGUCAAAUGUUCGAUAGGGCUGGAAUAUUGUGUGGGCAUAGUUUGAAAGUUCUUGAUUUGAUGAAUGUAAAGACAUUGCCAACACAUUAUCUCCUAAAGAGAUGGACUAGAGAAGCACGCAACGGAAGUAUACAUGACAGGCAAGGAAGGAAAGUGGUAGAAAAUCCAAAAUUGGAAGCUCAACUUUGGUACAAAGAUAUGUCUCAUAAAUUUCAUGAUAUGACAUAUAAAAUAGCCAACUCUCUCGAAUGUCGUUUGAUGCUAGAAGAUGCACUUGCUUGUCUUUGGCCACAACUAGAGGAUAAACUCAAUGCAUCAGCCACCGGUGCUACUGAUGCAUGUUCCAAUGACCAAGAAAAUGUUGUUCCAAAUGUGCAGCAAGCCAAUGACUUGCUUAGUUCUGCACGACUGAAGAAAAAGGAGGUUUCAUCUAAAAAUUUGAGGAGAAAGCCAACCUGGUUUGAUAAGUUACGCAAAGGACGAAAGCCAACUAAAUCAGCGGCAAUGACAAAAAAGGAGCAAAGCAACAACAACAACAAAAGAAAAAAAAUAGUGUGCAGCCUCAAGUGCAAGUCGAGAACAAUGGCAAUAGUCUGCAACCUGAAGUGCAAGUGCGGGUGA